rnacentral:rRNA from 1 species
CUACGGGAGGCAGCAGUGGGGAAUUUUUGGCAAUGGGGGCAACCUGACCAAGCAACGCCGCGUGGGUGAUGAAGGCCUUCGGGUCGUAAAGCCCUGUCUGGGGGACGACCUCUUGCCGGUGAAUAUCCGCAAGACCGACGGUACCCCCGAAGGAAGCACCGGCUAACUCGUGCCAGCAGCCGCGGUAAGACAGAGGUGCGAGCGUUGUUCGAAUUACUGGGGUAAAGGGCGCGUAGGCGGCCUGCUAAGUUCGGGUGAAAGCCCUCGGCUCAACCGAGGAAGUCGCCGGAUACUGGCAGGCUUGAGUACCGGAGAGGAGGGUGGAAUUCCUGGUGUAGCGGUAAAUGCUUAGAUAUUCAUAGAACACCGUUGCGAAGGCAGCUCACUAAACUGUCACUGACGCUGAGGCACGAAAGCGUGGGAGCAAACAGGAUUAGAUACCCUGGUAGUCCACGCCCUAAACUAUGAUCACUCGAUGUUGGCGAUACACUGUCAGCGUCUAAGCGAAAGCAUUAAGUGAUCCACCUGGGGAGUA